rnacentral:misc_RNA from 1 species
AGGCCUUUGACACCCAAAAGUCAAUAUCACCAUAGCAGAAGCUUUUGUAACCAAGUGCCGAAUUCCUCUCUUUAUACUCCUCUGCUGCCAGAUGCUGCAUCAUCCACAUUCUUUUUGGAUGAAAUUCCUGCCUUGAACCUGGAUGAUACCGAUAGUGAUGCAGGAUUGUCUAGUCUUGCGAGUUUGGGCGCUGAUGUGGAGGAGAAGGGGA